rnacentral:rRNA from 1 species
UACCACCGAUUGUAUGGUUUAACAAGGUCCUCGGAUUGGUGCCAUUGCAAUGGCUUCGGCCGCUCCACCGGUGCUGACAAGACGACCAAACUUGAUCAUUUAGAGGAAGUAAAAGUCGUAACAAGGUUUCCGUAAGUGAACCUGCGGAAGG